AUUAGGAUACUCAAAAAUUUCUCCAUCACAAGAUACGGAUUAGUUUACAGCCGUAGAUUUCAAUACAUCAUCAUCAAUAAUCGAAUGGGUUUAUUCGGUUAUCUCUGUGCGCGUGCUGAUAUGCAAGAUUGAUCAAUGAUAAAAGACAGUAAAAGAUUAGCCUGUCGCACAACCAAUGGCAUACGGUCUUAUCAACAGUGUGCAUUUGAUUCAGAGUUGAUGUAAAAAAAUAAACUGAGGCUAUUGAAAAUACUAGAAUAUUGAAUUUAGAAUUUUUGCAAAAUCACUCGACCUGUGGCUGAGCUCAACAACACUAAUUUUUGUAUUGGCGUAACUGAGAAAUUCAUCCUGCACAUCUUUGAGUACCUAGAGAAAAGCAAAACAAAGUAUACAAAUCUUGCCAAUUUUUCAUCAGCUACU